rnacentral:rRNA from 1 species
GCUCCAGACUCCUACGGGAGGCAGCAGUGGGGGAUAUUGCACAAUGGGGGGAACCCUGAUGCAGCGACGCCGCGUGGGUGAAGAAGCGCCUCGGCGCGUAGAGCCCUGUCAGCAGGGAAGAAAGUGACAGUACCUGACUAAGAAGCCCCGGCUAACUACGUGCCAGCAGCCGCGGUAAUACGUAGGGGGCAAGCGUUAUCCGGAUUCACUGGGUGUAAAGGGAGCGCAGGCGGCACGGCAAGUCUGAUGUGAAAGCCCGGGGCUCAACCCCGGGACUGCAUUGGAAACUGCCGGGCUGGAGUGUCGGAGGGGUAAGCGGAAUUCCUAGUGUAGCGGUGAAAUGCGUAGAUAUUAGGAGGAACACCAGUGGCGAAGGCGGCUUACUGGACGAUCACUGACGCUGAGGCUCGAAAGCGUGGGGAGCAAACAGGAUUAGAUACCCUCGUAA